AACUAUUAAAAUGUUAAAUGUAAACAGACUCUUAUGUUGCCUUAAAUAAAUGCCUUCCUUAAAAAACAAAAACAAAAACAACUGUUUCUCAAAUUAAUUUUCCCAGAUUCAUAGAUUUCUCUCCUUAACCUGAUAAUUGGCCAAACAGUAUUUACUCCUAAAUACUGUUUCUAAAUUCUUGUGUUCAGCGCACUGGGAUGCAUGAGGGUAUAUUUUUUAAGGCACAAAGAAAAUUUGUUUGCCUGUGAUCUCACUAAUAGGUGUUUAUUGCCCUCCUGGAGCCACAGUUGCUGUGUCAUCUCAAGGCUGGAAUUCUGGAUGAAGAGGAGGAGCUUUUUUGGGGUAGAACCUGAAGGAUGGGGAUGGGGCAUUCAUUUAUUCAUAAAAUUAUAUGCUCUCCUUGGACAUAUAGAAAAAAUCGUGUAUGGCAGAUGAACCUGACAGCAAUAACAUAAGUGUAUCCCAAGAAUGACACUGUAUGGCAGAUGAACCUGACAGCAACAAGUUAAGCAUACCCUGAGAAUGACCAUAUGGUCUAAGAAGAAUGCAUAUUCAGAGUUGGGAGCUACAGAAUCUGGGUGUGGCCAACCUGGAGAUUCAUUCCUUGUCUAUGAGGGACAUCUGAGCCUUCAGCCCAUCCUGUGGAAUGCAGGCAAUACAGGGGACCAAGGCCCAUUGUUUUAGAUUAAAUGAAGAUUUCCAAGUGGAGGUUGCUAAGUGAAAAUGCUGUAUAAAUUGCAUGCUUUUAAUAAGUGGUUGCAGUUCUCCUCUCCAGCCCACUGCCACUGGACCACCCCUGUAUGUAAGUUUCCUCAACAAACCCUAUGUAUUCUUCACUGGCUCUAGGUCUCUUCUUGGGCCUCUUAAACAUGGUGCGGUUUCUGCUGAAGUCAUAGGGGUCCAGCAUGUCAAAGCGUCAAAUCAGCAUUGUAAUCUAAAGACUUUUCUCACCCAAUCCUAUUCCACAUCCCUACUCCCACCUUGCUUUUUGCCUCUACAGUCACAAUAAAGCUCUCCCAGUCUUACUUCUGACUCAG
rnacentral:lncRNA from 1 species